ACACGACUCCCGGCAACGGAUAUCUAGGCUCUCGCAUCGAUGAAGAACGUAGCAAAAUGCGAUACUUGGUGUGAAUUGCAGAAUCCCGUGAAUCAUCGAGUUUUUGAACGCAAGUUGCGCCCGAAGCCAUCCGGCCAAGGGCACGUCUGCCUGGGCGUCACGCAUCUCGUCGCCACCCCCUCCGAACCCGUCCUC
rnacentral:rRNA from 2 species